UUCACAAGACAGGGCCUGCGGACAUUC
rnacentral:piRNA from 1 species